UUGUGGAUGACUCAGUGGUUAAGGCAUUGGACUUCUGAUUGGAGGGUCGUGAGUUCAAAUCCCGGCACCACCAA